GGGCUCGUAGCUCAGCGGAUAGAGCACCUGCCUCCUAAGCAGGGGGUCGCGCGUUCGAUUCGCGCCGGGCCCACCA
rnacentral:tRNA from 1 species